CACGUAGGGUGCAAGCGUUGUCCGGAAUCAUUGGGCGUAAAGGGCGCGUAGGCGGCUAUUCAAGUGGCGGGUGAAAUCCCUCGGCUUAACCGAGGAACUGCCUGCCAGACUGGAUGGCUUGAGACCGGGAGAGGUGAGUGGAAUUCCCAGUGUAGCGGUGAAAUGCGUAGAUAUUGGGAGGAACACCAGUGGCGAAGGCGGCUCACUGGACCGGUACUGACGCUGAGGCGCGAAAGCGUGGGGAGCAAACAGG
rnacentral:rRNA from 1 species